UACCCACACCAAUUUCUCAAAAACGAAAGUUGCACAAACGAAAAUGUCAACGGCACAAACCUGCACAAACGGAGCACUAACGAACUAGCCCACUUUAAUUUGUUGGCGAACAGUACAGCUUGUGGUCAUAGAUAAUAUUCAUUCAUAUUUUUUAAAACUGCACAUGCACAGAAAAGGGAAAUGUUUUGGUCAAGGUUUGUCAGCAGGCCAGCUUCAUGAAUCUUCAAAUGUUAAGGGCAUGUUUAAGCCUUUUGAGAUAUAUUCUACUAUGGACUAUCUACUAAAUGACAGCCUUACAAACUUUUUUUUUUAUUUUUUUAUUUGUUUGUUUGUUUUUUUGUGCCAGAUCUGUCAGUGUGCAGACCAGACUGUUGGGGCCUACCCCAUUUAAGACAUCUGCUUGCCAGAUCAGGCAUCAGAGUCACAGGUUGACUAUGUGCUCGAUGCCAGAAGAUCAGAAACCAAGAAUAUUGGGACAAUUGGCACUACCAACUUAAAACGGCAAGACUUCCAGUCACUUGGUUUGCAGCACAACUUGGAAGCGACAAUUGCCAACAGCUGCAUGGAGCUCAUUUGUGACAUGGCCUGGUGGAAGAAGAAGGAUGUGUAUGCACCGGAUGCCUAUGUCGUUGCCACUUGGCAUGCACCAAGUUUUCCAGGACACUUUUCUUAAUUUACAGGCUGAUGCAGCAUCAAAAGAUUUCCUGAUUUUUCCUGUGUGGAAACCAGGACACUGGUUCCUCUGUAGCACCAUGGCAAGAAUCGAUGAAGCAGUAUGCUGGAUACGGGUCAACAUGUCUCUUUUCCGUGGACAUGUUGAACUGCCCAGCAUAUUGUCCAUGACAGCAGAGGAUCGACAGCAGUUCUUUCAGAACAUUGCCAAUGAUGACGACAUCCAUGAUUCAAGAGAAUGUCUCCUUUUUGUUUUUGAAUAUCAAGAAGAUUACACAGUUUUUUUUUUUAUUCUUGUUCAGCUGUGUCGGCAAUGUUUAACACCCCUACCCUUUCCCCUUAGCCAGAGGACAGGCACCACCCCUGGCCUAUCUAUCUAAUCUUUAAUUGUUGUUGUUAUGUUGACUUUUAUUUGUGAAAAAUACAUUUAUUUUUGGAUAAACUUGUUUGGACUUAUUGUAAAAACCUAUUUAACCCCUAUACUAUGUUGAAAAAAUAUAUUGAUUAUGUUGCGGAUCAUUUUGACCCGUACUAUGUAAAUGAAUGCAAAACAGUCACAAAAACAGGUUAAACCAAUAAACAAUUAAUAAUAUUAUUAUUGCAUGCAAUACAAUUUUAAUUAAUAAAUACUUUAUUUAAUAGCUAUUUUGUGUGGGUGUUUUCCCUCAUCACAAACACGUUUCGCAAUAUUACUGUGUACCUUCUG